GGCCUCCGCCCGAGCGUGAGUGGCCUGGCGGACUCGGGCCUGAGGCCGCAUGGACAGCCUGGCCGUGGGCCGGUGGCGACGGCGGAGGCCGGAGGAGCCGCAGGUUCCGGGGGACGUGAAACGGGCAUGCAGGAGACUAGAAGCCAGUGGGCAGGAGCCUGGCUGCCACCAGGUGAACACCUGUACCCUGGUGUCCUGGGGCCCCGAGGACUGGGAGUCUCCACCAAGAGGUUGCCCCCCAGCUCCGAGGCCCGAGAGUGGCCAGGGGAAGCCAAAUGCAGGGAUUCCUCAAAACGGUGGAAGGAGCCCAGCUCAGCCUUGCCCAAGAUGUAUUGCCGGGGAAUCUAAUUGUGUGAGCCUUGGGCAUGAUGUCUCCACCCACAGAUACGUCAGCAUGAAACGGGAGGACAUCAACCACAGAGAAAAAUCUGUGGAGCUGCUAGAAAGAAAGGACUGAUUAUCCAUGAAAAGACAGUAAUUUGACAACAGAUCUCUCAGUAACAACAGAUGCCAGGAGACCUUGGAAUGGCAUCUUUGAAAUACUGAGGGGACUGCAGCUGUGGGCCUGUGGGCAGGCUGUGCUGGGCCUUGAGCUGGGACGGCAAAAGUAAUGGGUCCCCCCCCACCAGAAGAGAACUUAAGUAGAUCAGUAACAAUGGAAGAAACUGAGAAAGUUAUCAAAAAGCUACCAUGCCAGUAACUGGUUGUGCGUCCUGCUGUUCCUGCGUACCGUCUACUUCCUGUGGGGCCCCGUAGAGAAGGGUGCACACCCACUGCAGUGAUCACCUCCAAGAAGGACGGGGGAGGAUGAGGCAAGAAUAUGGUAUGUGUUCAGUCUGCAUGGGGCACAGGUAGGUAUUAUAAAGAUAUUUCAUUAUACAAAGACUCAGGUCAGCAAAGUAAGGAUGAUUGUCUUAGAAGUCCACACUUUUGUUAUAGGCCUUGGAAGAAUUCUGUUGAGAAAAGACUGUUUGGUGGCUGUAAAGAUGAAUAUGCUUGAAAGAAAGAAAGAGUGAUUCCUCAGGCAGAUGGUAACGGCAGGAGUCGCAGACAUCUCUGACCCACAGAGGGCUGCUGUUACUGUGUCACACAGGAAAUCAGUGUGCCACCAUCCAAAGCCCCUGUCGGGUUCCCGGGGCUCAGGACAGCACCUGCCUUCCAGGAAACAGGGACAUCAUCAAGGACUGGACUGCUUUGUCCCCUGAUGCCCAGCCCACCCCACCCUCUUGGGCCUCAGUUAGCCCAGGAGCCUAUUUGCCGUCGUGGUGUGGUCCUUGCAGGACGGGGAGGCCACGCUUGCACUGCCUGUGUGCCAGGGUACAUGGCCAGGUGCGACAGAGAGUCCUAGAUGCUGACGGGACCUCUCACUGCACAGUGCUACAGUGUCUGGCCGAGUGUCCGUCCCCAGCCAUCUGGUUCUCCAGUUAUUUCUGUAGGGGCAUUUUAACCACACUGAGAAUCGUUAGAAGGUGCCAGCUGGACAAAGGAAGAUUCCAGUUUUGGUUUUGAACCCUCCGUGUGACAGCAAGUGUGAUCUCUUCCAGAUGUGUCUGGGCGCCCACCUGUCCAGAGGGCAUCCCGUGCGCCCUGCCAGGUGGCGGUUUGUCCUCUCAUCCAGGUAAUCCCACCUUCCUCUGCGCCAGAGCCUGGAGGAUCCACGUCACUUCAAAAGAGCCUCCUUUCAAGCGUAUCUUGCUUAAGAGGGAGAUGAGUUGCAUUAUUUAAAAGUUUAAAAAACUCCGUAUCAAACUCCCUGCGAGGUGUGGGAACCAUGGCUUAUGGAAUCAUAUCCAGAUGCAGUCCCGUUUCAUACUUUUCAGUUGUUUUAUGGCUGUAUUCAGGGCUGGUUAUGUACUCUUUUUAACUUAAAAGACUUAUUUUUGUAUUUAAAAUGCUGUAUAAUCUUGAAGUGAAUUUUACUGAAUGCUAGUAUCCAAUCCGAUCUGUAUAAUUCUCCAACCAAAGUUAUCAGAGACAGGACCCCUUUUAUAUUAAAAUGGAAAUUGCUCUUUU